rfam:Dipodomys ordii contig_31351, whole genome shotgun sequence.
GGGAAGGUGGCUCAGUGGUAGAGCGCUCGCCUUGCAUGCUCGAGGCCCUGAGUUCGAUUCCUCAGCCCCA